rnacentral:rRNA from 1 species
CUUGCUCCUGNCNAUUCAGCGGACNUACGGGUGAGUAAUGCCUAAGAAUGUGCNGGGGUAGUGGGGGAUAACGUCCGGAAACGGGCGCUAAUACCGCAUACGUCCUGAGGGAGAAAGUGGGGGAUCUUCGGACCUCACGCUAUCAGAUGAGCCUAGGUCGGAUUAGCUAGUUGGUGGGGUAAAGGCCUACCAAGGCGACGAUCCGUAACUGGUCUGAGAGGAUGAUCAGUCACACUGGAACUGNGACACGGUCCANACUCCUACGGGAGGCANCAGUGGGGAAUAUUGGACAAUGGGCGAAAGCCUGAUCCAGCCAUGCCGCGUGUGUGAAGAAGGUCUUCGGAUUGUAAAGCACUUUAA